AGAAUCCGACACCAAUUAACAGCAGCUGUUCAUACACGGUGAGCAUAAAAACGAGCUGCUCACUAGUAAGAUUCACCCGAGACAGAAACAACCUCU